rnacentral:rRNA from 1 species
GAUGAACGCUGGCGGCGUGCCUAAUACAUGCCAGUCGAGCGAACGGACGAGAAGCUUGCUUCUCUGAUGUUAGCGGCGGACGGGUGAGUAACACGAGGAUAACCUACCUAUAAGACUGGGAUAACUUCGGGAAACCGGAGCUAAUACCGGAUAAUAUUUUGAACCGCAUGGUUCAAAAGUGAAAGACGGUCUUGCUGUCACUUAUAGAUGGAUCCGCGCUGCAUUAGCUAGUUGGUAAGGUAACGGCUUACCAAGGCAACGAUGCAUAGCCGACCUGAGAGGGUGAUCGGCCACACUGGAACUGAGACACGGUCCAGACUCCUACGGGAGGCAGCAGUAGAGAAUCUUCCGCAAUGGGCGAAAGCCUGACGGAGCAACGCCGCGUGAGUGAUGAAGGUCUUCGGAUCGUAAAACUCUGUUAUUAGGGAAGAACAUAUGUGUAAGUAACUGUGCACAUCUUGACGGUACCUAAUCAGAAAGCCACGGCUAACUACGUG